rnacentral:rRNA from 1 species
AGCUUUAAACCCAAUGAUAACCUCUCUCUAAGUACCCCUUAAAGAUAUAGAGGACCUAUAAAUUGGUUUUAGGUUGGGGUGACCGUGGAGUAAAACAAAACCUCCUUGACGAAUAGG